rnacentral:rRNA from 1 species
GAUGAACGCUAGCGGCAGGCUUAACACAUGCAAGUCGAGGGGCAGCAUAAUGGAUAGCAAUAUCUAUGGUGGCGACCGGCGCACGGGUGCGUAACGCGUAUGCAACCUACCUUUAACAGGGGGAUAACACUGAGAAAUUGGUACUAAUACCCCAUAAUAUCAUAGAAGGCAUCUUUUAUGGUUGAAAAUUCCGAUGGUUAGAGAUGGGCAUGCGUUGUAUUAGCUAGUUGGUGAGGUAACGGCUCACCAAGGCGACGAUACAUAGGGGGACUGAGAGGUUAACCCCCCACACUGGUACUGAGACACGGACCAGACUCCUACGGGAGGCAGCAGUGAGGAAUAUUGGUCAAUGGACGCAAGUCUGAACCAGCCAUGCCGCGUGCAGGAUGACGGCUCUAUGAGUUGUAAACUGCUUUUGUACUAGGGUAAACUCACCUACGUGUAGGUGACUGAAAGUAUAGUACGAAUAAGGAUCGGCUAAC